GUGUGUGGUGUGUGGGAUGUGUGAUGUCAUUGCUGUGUGAUAUGUGUGUUACACAUGUGUGUGGUGUGUAGUGUGAUCAGUUUCUAUAAAAAUAAUUUCCAUCUUACUGAGUCGUUCAAACGGCUUGUUUGAGAAGUCGAGUCUACAGGGGAUAGAUGUGAGAAUUCAGGUGAGGAAUGUAUAUGUAGAUUUUUUUAGCGAUUCUACCGGGAUCCUAAAACCCCUCUGGAAUCCCGAAGCCCCCAGCCGGGCUGCAGAGGAUGGGGGCUCUGUGCAGGCGUGGAUGGAGGGCUGCGCUCUGGGCAUCCCCCCGCCCCCCGCAGGCUGUGGCCCUCGGGCGACACGGAGCGGGAGGGACUCCUGAGCUGCCGAGGCACCUGCAGAGGGAGGAAGCCCGGUGAGAGAGAAGCUGAUGCCAGUGAGAAGAAGAUUCUGGAAGUGCCUGCGUCUGUGUGUGCCUGGCACUGAGCGUUCAGUUUUAAAGAACCCAAGCCCCAAGUUUCACCAUGUGCACCGUACAACUCAGCAGCUGCUCCACGCACAGUCUCACGGCAUUAUUUACACUGAGCCCCACGGGGCAGGUGAGGAAAGAGGGGAUACGCAUUUGAGUGAAGUGCUUGGAAGGAGGCAACCAAACCGGCUCUGUUGCCCAUCAGCCCAGGGCCAUUCUGCUCCGCAGAGCAAACCCUGGCAGAGGCUAAGCGCUCUGGAAGCGCAGCGCAGGGCCUGGGCUGUCCUCGCCAGCGCGUCCGAGACUGACGCACUCGCCUCAACGCAGACCUAUCGGAGCCACCUCUCCUGUCUGCACAGCCGCUGAGACUGCGUGCCCAGAGCCAAGGAUGCACGAGAAGUGGCCUCAAUAAAGCUGUUUUACUUCAACCAACAGGCCCUUCAGGAAAUGCGCUGGGCAUCUGGAUCCCAGGAACAGUGAAUUCACCCGUGUCCCAGCUCCAGGACCGCCCUUUGUGUCACGAAUGGCGAGAGACAGCUCUGCCGUGAGACACAGGAAGUGCACCACAGGCCCCAGUGGCUCCGCCGUCUCACUCUCCCCCGGAGGGGGAGGCCACCUCCUGGCCCGGCCGCCGCCUGCACAUCUGUCGGGGAUUAUUCACCUCGGCUCUCCGUGGCUGGCUGCGGCCCGAGGUGGUCUACGCAUCCUUCCCUUGGCCACACGCCUCUGCUGAGAAGUCCACAGCGAACAACCUGCUUCUGUCUCCAUGUUUCCUCUUCCAGAGAAUGGCACCACCAUCGCCCCAGGUCUCAGGCUGUUUCCAUGGGAACCUGACCUAUGCCAGUCAGUACCUGGAUGGUCCUGCCAGUUGCCGAAGACGAGCCCGUGGCUGGCGGGAGACAAGCACUGGAGGCUCUGGGUGGCGAGGGGCGACGGGCAGAGCGCAGGGCCAGGCUGUGCUGGGAGCCGCCCGUCUCCAGGCUGUGCACAUGGGCAGACCCUAUGGUUUCCAGGUGUCUGUGGUGAGAAAAGGGGCCACAGGGGAGCUUACUGCAAGCCUGUAAGAGAAUCCCGAUAAAGGUCUCUAGGGCCCCGCAGCGGAGAAUGAUGCACCAUUUGGAAGGGGGCCCCUGGCGUGUGCCGAGCCCUGCGGAGCUGGAGCGUCUGAGCAGCGACCCACGCAAAGAUGGAACGGGGUGGCCGGGACCAGGCCACGCAGAACCACAGGCAGCAGUUAACCUCGCAGGCAGGGGCCGAGACCCCCUGUUACCCACACGUGGCCCUGCUCCCUCUCCCGGGCUCACAACCAUGGCCCCGGUGGUGGUGGCAGGGCUGGGGGAAUCCAAGCUUGGCUCACAACUGACUUGCCUGGCAUGCAAAUGCAGCCCAAAGUGGAUGCUUGUAUAGUGGAAGCUUCUUUAAGGUAAAGAGAGAGAGGUGAGCGGAAGUCCUCUCAAUGGGCAGGGCUUUGGGCAAUGCAAACUCCCCCCCGCCCCCACUCAGUGCAUAUGUUGAAGCCUAAUCACCAAGGCGACGGUGUUGGGGGCUGAUUCUGGUGUGAUGCCUUAUACUAAUCACUCACUAGAGCCUGUGAUGUCCGUGUGCUGCCUGACGCAGCGGUAGUCAGCAUGUUCUUCAGACUCAGUCGCUGCCUUGUGACUCGAUAAGAGGCCUGAGUUGUUGCACAUAAGCAAAUGCUCCCAACUCCCACACGGAGGCCCCCGUGGUGGGAGUCUGG